CACACCCACACAAGCAGCGACUGAGCGUCAUCACAGGUCCAAGGUGGUUGUUGGUUGCAAUGGCCGGCUGCGGAGGGAAGGAUGGCCUGUACGCCGUGCUCGGCGUCUCCAGCGACUGCUCCGAUGCGGAGCUGCGCAGCGCCUACAGGAAGCUCGCCAUGAAAUGGCACCCGGACAAAUGCGGCUCCGGCGGCGUGGAGGCCGCCAAAGCAAGGUUCCACAAGAUCCAGGCAGCAUACGCAGUUCUGUCGGAUCCCAACAAGCGUAUCCUCUACGACGUUGGUGCGGCAAAUUUGAUAAAUUUGAUCCAUAGACGAAAUUAAAUCACAGAAUGAACUGUCUGUGAAACUAUUUCACGCGGCUGACCCGUGGCGCCUAGCUCUCAGGCGCUGCACUAGUGCAACGCGUAGGAGCUAGGCGCUGCACUAGUGCAAUGCCUAGGAGCUAGGCGCUACACUGUAUAGUGUGGCGCCUAGCUCUCAGACGCUGCACACUGACUUAGUAAUUUUCGGAUCACACGGGUGCGACGCUGGCCGUGUAGCGCCUAUCUGUGAGGCGUUGCACAGUGUAGUGUGGCGCCUUCGUGUGAGGCGUCACACAAAAAGGUCAGCCGCGUGAAAUAGUUUUACGGACAGUUUAUUUUGUGAUUUGAUUUCGUUCAUAGGUCAAAUUUGUCAAAUUUGCCAGUUGGUGCCUACCACAGCGACGGCGACGAUGAGGGUGCUGGAGACAUACUGGGAGACAUCCUGGAGGCCAUGAACCACACACCUCCACACGUAAGUAAUCACUUCCAACUCAACUCACACUGCCGCUUAUGGUUAUAGUAGAUAUCAUGGAGGUUUUUACAGAGCAGAGCAGAGCACUACUUACUUAUUUGUUGUUUAAUGGCGUUUCUCCUCCGGUGCUCCCCCCCCCCCCCCCCCCCGGCUGAACGCGAGGGGGAGAAACAUAAGGACGGCUGAGAUCUGUCAAAAACGAUUCGUGAAGAGGGGCACGAUCGUCUUUUUAUGCCCGCGUAGAGCCCUAUACGAGCCCGCACCGGCCCGAUUACUUUUGGAUGCUGAGGGUAUACAUGUAUUGUACGUGGGCGUUUCGUUUUCCCUUGUCACGUGCGGCGGUCGUGGGCUAGCCACGCGGCCAUGCGACGCACGAAAACUUCCAAAAACGUCCCAUCCUAUAAAAGGGAGGGGAACCACCACCGGCCGCAUCGCCCCCACCAUUUUCCCCCAAAUCGGCUCACUCCCUCUCUCCUUGCCGCAUCGUCUCCCCCUCGUCUCCAUCGCCCCGCCACCACACCUACUCGCUCAACCCCACCGCCUCCCUCUCUCCGGCGGGUUCUCUUAGGCUUCGAUGGCGCAAGGUCGUGGCGCUGCCGCCGCUACGCACGGAGUUGCGGUCGAGGCCGCGAACACCGUGGCAGAUGGCGUCCAAGAAGUGGCCGCUGUCGGCGGUGCGGGAGAUGAUGCACCCGCAGUCGUUGGAUCGGUCGCUGCGGCGGCGGAUCUGGUGGAGCAAGGGGUGGUGGGCUCGGACUCCGUCGUGCCGGACCUGGUGGUGACGGCGUCUGGCGACGCACUGGAUGUAGGUGCGUAGGCGAGCGACAAGCAGGUGGUGGAUGUGAAUGAGGAAGAUGCUGGCAACAAGAGGAAGCUGGACAUCGCUAGGUUCGACGACCCGUCUGAUUCUGACGACGACGAGGAGUACAACUCUGGAGAUGAGGUGGAAGAGUGGAACCACAAGUCCUUCAUUGAGCAUGAAGCCAACAAGAUCAGGGAGAAGGGGAAGGCGGCGUACUACAAGUGGGGCAAGUUCAGGUGCCCAUACUGCACCACUAAGCCAAUUCCCAAGGAUGGGCUGUAUGAGCACCUUAUGUCGCAUGCACGCGGUUUAGCGAAGAGUGG